CCUACGGGAGGCAGCAGUAGGGAAUCUUCCACAAUGGGCGAAAGCCUGAUGGAGCAACGCCGCGUGGGUGAAGAAGGUCUUCGGAUCGUAAAACUCUGUUGUUAGAGAAGAAAGUGCGUGUGAGUAACUGUUCACGUUUCGACGGUAUCUAACCAGAAAGCCACGGCUAACUACGUGCCAGCAGCCGCGGUAAUACGUAGGUGGCAAGCGUUAUCCGGAUUUAUUGGGCGUAAAGGGAACGCAGGCGGUCUUUUAAGUCUGAUGUGAAAGCCUUCGGCUUAACCGGAGUAGUGCAUUGGAAACUGGGAGACUUGAGUGCAGAAGAGGAGAGUGGAACUCCAUGUGUAGCGGUGAAAUGCGUAGAUAUAUGGAAGAACACCAGUGGCGAAAGCGGCUCUCUGGUCUGUAACUGACGCUGAGGUUCGAAAGCGUGGGUAGCAAACAGGAUUAGAUACCCCAGUAGUC
rnacentral:rRNA from 1 species